GGGGAUAAGCGGAAGAAAUUCCGUCUAAUACCGCGUAAUAACUCCGAGAGGCAUCUCCUGGGGUUUAAAGGGUAACACCGGCUACGGAUGGCCAUGCGGCGCAUUAGCUAGUUGGCGGGGUAACGGCCCACCAAGGCGACGAUGCGUAGGGGUUCUGAGAGGAAGGUCCCCCACACUGGUACUGAGACACGGACCAGACUCCUACGGGAGGCAGCAGUGAGGAAUAUUGGUCAAUGGGCGCGAGCCUGAACCAGCCAAGUCGCGUGAGGGAAGACGGUCCUAUGGAUUGUAAACCUCUUUUGUCGGGGAGCAAAAGACGCCACGCGUGGCGUUCCGAGAGUACCCGAAGAAAAAGCAUCGGCUAACUCCGUGCCAGCAGCCGCGGUAAUACGGAGGAUGCGAGCGUUAUCCGGAUUUAUUGGGUUUAAAGGGUGCGCAGGCGGAAGAUCAAGUCAGCGGUAAAAUUGAGAGGCUCAACCUCUUCGAGCCGUUGAAACUGGUUUUCUUGAGUGAGCGAGAAGUAUGCGGAGUGCGUGGUGUAGCGGUGAAAUGCAUAGAUAUCACGCAGAACUCCGAUUGCGAAGGCAGCAUACCGGCGCUCAACUGACGCUCAUGCACGAAAGUGUGGGUAUCGAACAGGAUUAGAUACCCUGGUAGUCCACACAGUAAACGAUGAA
rnacentral:rRNA from 1 species